rnacentral:rRNA from 1 species
CAGUCGCCGCGGGAAUACGUAGGUGGCAAGCGUUGUCCGGAUUUAUUGGGCGUAAAGCGAGCGCAGGCGGUCAAUUAAGUCUGAUGUGAAAGCCCCCGGCUCAACCGGGGAGGGUCAUUGGAAACUGGUUGACUUGAGUGCAGAAGAGGAGAGUGGAAUUCCAUGUGUAGCGGUGAAAUGCGUAGAUAUAUGGAGGAACACCAGUGGCGAAGGCGACUCUCUGGUCUGUAACUGACGCUGAGGCUCGAAAGCGUGGGUAGCAAACAGGAUUAGAUACCCGAGUAGUCCCUGUCUCUUAUAC